AUUGAACGCUGGCGGCAGGCUUAACACAUGCAAGUCGAGCGAGUGGCGGACGGGUGAGUGAUGCUUGGAUCUCUCCCUCAUGGAGGGGGAUAACUACGGGACACAGUAGCUAAUACCACCUACCAUGGAAUGGGCCCAGGUGGGAUUCGGUAGUGGGUGGGGUAAAGGCUCACCCAGCCGACGAUCCCUAGCUGGUCUGAGAGGAUGCCCAGCCCCACUGGGACUGAGCGAAGGCCCAGACUCCACCGGGAGGCAGCAGUGGGGAAGAUUGCACAAUGGGAGCAACCUGACGCAGCCAUGCCGCGUGAAGGAAGAAGGCCUUCGGGUUGUAAAGUUCUUUCAGUAGUGAGGCGUUAACAACAGAAGAAGGACCGGCUAACUCCGUGCCAGCCGCCGCGGUAAUAC
rnacentral:rRNA from 1 species